AUGUUUAAAGAAAUCGGUAAUUUCUUUAAUGUUUGAGUUGCUUUAUAUAUGUAUUUCCUCAUAGUCCUAGGCAAUAAUGCUACACAAUAAAUAGAAUGCUUCAAUCAACACCGUGAUCGGUGAUUGGUAUUAUCGGAUCGGCAGAUACUGAUUUCAGUGAUCGGAAACACUGGAGUUGAUAAGCGUGUCUUGUCUGAUCAAUACACAACAGUGAGGUGCGUGAAUGGACCGAGUGGCCAGCUGCUGAUCACGCACUCAAUAGCUCGACUGCAUGAAUAGAAGGUGCGCGCGCAGCGCGCAAAAAAAUUUUUUGGGAGCACCCAAGACCCAUUUUGACCCAGGAAAAGUGCGCCCCUAAAUUUUCUGCUUGCGCCCCUAACAUUUUAAGUUAGGAGCGACUGUGCUCCUAGUUAAAAAAGUUAGUCUGGAGCCCUGGUGUGCCACCCUUUCAGUGCGGCAAGCUUGAGAGAAAACUGCUUUUGGCCUCCGUAAAACUGUAGAUUUUAGAAGGCUUAACUCCAACCAUCGUGGAUUAAAGUAGAAUGUCAUGCAUUCUGGAUUCAUUACAAAUCAACUGAAAUAUUGCAAGCCUUUUAUUCUGAUUUAUUGCUGAUUAUGGCUUACAGCUUAAGAAAACUCAAAUAUCCUAUCUCUAAAUAUUAGAAUAUCAUGAAAAAGUAUACUAGUAGGGUAUUAAACAAAUCACUUGAAUUGUCUAAUUAACUCGAAACACCUGCAAGGGUUUCCUGAGCCUUGACAAACACUCAGCUGUUAUAAAUCUUUUUUUUUACUUGGUCUGAGGAAAUAUUAAAAUUUUAUGAGAUAGGAUUUUAGAGUUUUCUUAAGCUGUAAGCCAUAAUCAGCAAUAUUAAAAGAAUAAAAGGCUUGCAAUAUUUCAGUUGAUUUGUAAUGAAUCCAGAAUGCAUGACAUUUUUGUUUUUUUAAUUGCAUUACAGAAAAUAAAGAACUUUAUCACAAUAUUCUAAUUUUCUGAGACAGUCCUGUAUAGGCUGAAAACGCCAUCGGUAUUUCAUCUAAACUAAAUGUUGUCAUUCUUUUGGUUAUGUUGUAACAAUUCGCCCUUAGCAACUCAAUCAAGGGGAAAAGGUACAAUACACAAAAAAAAAAGGGAAUGGGCGGAUCUGCGAAUUCUGGUGUUAACUCUCUCUGCUCAAAUGGUCGUAAGAGAAAAACACAGUCGAUAUGCGGAAACCCAAAUGUUAUUAUAUUAAAUCAAAUUCAAUGCAUCUGCAAGCCCCCAAAAUGAACACAUAAACUACAAACAAUCAAACCCACUCAAAACGAAGUAUAAUCCCCGGAUCCCGACAGUCCCCAAAGUCUUUGCAGUCCCCCAAAACAAAAGUAAAUGACUGCACGCGCACACACCCCCCCCUGCCCCCCAAAAGCCGGCAAACAGCUGACCGACCAGGCGGAAACGUGGUGAGGCGCCGCGUUCAAUCCCCGCGCUACUUCACCCUAGUCCGGUAGGUGCUGGCCCAGUUCACAGUGUUCCUGCGCAGUCUUCUAUUAGUGAUCCCGCCCGUUGGUAUGAAUCCAAAAUAGAAACAGUCGCCGGAUUGCUGCCGUUCUGAGUCCGCUCACCAGUCCGCCGCCUGUCAGCGCGCUCCAAACAAAAAAAAACUUGCGUCACCUCCCCCUCGUCACCUUUUAUAACCCGUGACACGUACAAAUAAUAACAAUAAUAAUAAUUAUAAUACAGGACAACACAUGAUCCCAACUCAAUACAA